AAUUCUCAACUACCUUUUUAACAUUUUAUGUGUUAAGGGUGAAGUUGGAGUUGGAGGAUCAUUGCUGGCGCAACUGUCUCUAAGGUUGCUUGUUGGCUCCUCUUGAAUGGAUGAGCUUUUCUAAUGGAUCAUAGCUCAGUAACACUAAUGUGAUAAUUAUCUACGUUAGAUGUGAAAGCUUAUGAGUAGAGCAGACUUUGAAAGCUCCUAUAGAAAAGAAUAUCAAGGGAUGAUAACAAACCCUUGACUUUGACAA
rnacentral:misc_RNA from 1 species